AGCGCCCCCUCCCCUUCCCUUCUCUCCCACUCCUCUCCCUCCCUCCCUUCCUCUCUCUUAUUCACGGCGCUCCCUACCCUUCCCUUCUCUCCCACUUCUCUCUUUAUUCUCUAGAUUCACGGCACCUCUUUCUCCACUUCGCGAGGCGGCGCAUGAGCAUGCCCAGGGUGAUGCACGGGUUGGUCCUUCAAGGCGUCGUGGGGGCGACCAUGGCGCGGACGGCGAUGCCCCCUCCUCUCUAACCCUGCGGCGCCCCCUCCCCUCCAGGUGACGAGCCCCUCCCCUCCCCCGUGCCAGAUCCGGCAAGGAGGUUGGUUGUUGCGCCUAGAUCCAGGUGACGAGCCCCCUCCCCUCCCUCUCUUUCUCUCUCUGGACCUCUCUCACCCUCUCUCUCUCUGGCAGGGCCCUCUCUAUGGCGGUGCAUGGAGCAGCGCCGCCCUGCUCCUUCGCGGGGCGAGCUCCUCCUUCGAGCGGUGGAGACAGUGGUCAGAUCGACGAACGUCGACACAGAUCCGAUGGUGGGAAGCUAGAGCCGGCUCUAGGAGGCUAGAUCCACCGGCAGGCGAGCGGAUCUUGGUGCUAUGCGUAGUCCGGCAUGGAUUUAGGCACCGGCGAAUGGCGGCGUCGGCAACAGGGCAUGGAUGGGCUCAGCGGGCCCAUAGAUGGGCUCGUUGGGCUUAUCCAUGGGUUUUUUUUGUUUUUUAUCCGGUUUACCGUGGCGGGCAACGGACUGCCUCGGAAAAGGUCACAUUAGCCGUGACCUUUGAUUCGAGGCGGUUGCAAAAACCGUCUCGGUUAAGGGAUUUUGUCCGCCUUGGAAAACAAAUAUUGUAGUAGUGUCGCAGAGGUUCACCCAAAAACCAAAAACUUUUUAAGAUUUCUCGUCACAUCAAAUCUUGCGGCAUAUACAUGGAGCAUUAAAUAUAGAUAGAAACAAAAACUGAUUGCACAGUUUG
rnacentral:lncRNA from 1 species